UGGGGAAUAUUGCACAAUGGGGGAAACCCUGAUGCAGCGACGCCGCGUGGGUGAAGAAAUGUUUCGGCAUGUAAAGCCCUAUCAGCAGGGAAGAAAAUGACGGUACCUGACUAAGAAGCCCCGGCUAACUACGUGCCAGCAGCCGCGGUAAUACGUAGGGGGCAAGCGUUAUCCGGAUUCACUGGGCGUAAAGGGAGCGCAGGCGGCACAGUAAGUCUGAUGUGAAAGCCCGGGGCCCAACCCCGGGACUGCAUUGGAAACUGCUGGGCUUGAGUGUCGGAGGGGCAGGCGGAAUUCCUAGUGUAGCGGUGAAAUGCGUAGAUAUUAGGAGGAACACCAGCGGCGAAGGCGGCUUGCUGGACGACAACUGACGCUGAGGCUCGAAAGCGUGGGGAGCAAACAGG
rnacentral:rRNA from 1 species